UACGUGGGGGGCAAGCGUUGUUCGGAAUUCCUGGGCGUAAAGGGCUCGUAGGCGGCCAACUAAGUCAGACGUGAAAUCCCCAGGCUCAACCUGGGAACUGCGUCUGAUACUGGCAGGCUUGAAUUCGGGAGAGGGAUGCGGAAUUCCAGGUGUAGCGGUGAAAUGCGUAGAUAUCUGGAGGAACACCGGUGGCGAAGGCGGCAUCCUGGACCGAUAUUGACGCUGAGGCGCGAAAGCCAGGGGAGCAAACGGG
rnacentral:rRNA from 1 species